CACGUUUGCAGGCACCUUCUUAGAUUGACAGGACCAGUUUUUACACAGGUGCUGAACAGAUUGGGCAGCCAGGUAGACUAAUGAAUAAAUUGCAUUAACUGCAGAUUUUCAGUGUUGGAUUAAUCAUUAUGGAUUUAUUCAACAAAAUAUCCAAAAAGACUGCAGUUCCAGACUGGAUCACAAAGCUUCUGACACAACAGCGUCCAUCCGGGCAAAAGCAAAACUCCAACCUGGGUGAUCUCUGACCUUCAGCUGUCUCAUCAGGCUUGUCCAGCGCCCUGUACAGCAUGACCACCGAAGGCUGGGACAGGCUGGGCAGCAUCUGGACUCAUGGGCUUGUCCUUUUCAUUCUCUAUGGGUCUGAACAGCACCUUUUUCAUCUCCCUGUCCCGGAUGUCGGGGCUGGCGGCGCUGAUCAGCAUCUUCAGGUUGGCGGUGGGUGUCCAGGGCUCCAC